AAUCAACGCUGGCGGCGUGCCUCAGACAUGCAAGUCGAACGCGAAAGUCCCCUUCGGGGGACAAGUAGAGUGGCGCACGGGUGAGUAACACGUAGGUAAUCUACCUUCGGAUGGGGAAUAACAAUCGGAAACGGUUGCUAAUACCGCAUAAUGCAGCGGCACCCUAAUGGUGACAGUUGUUAAAGCGGGGGAUCGAAAGACCUCGCGUCUGAAGAGGAGCCUGCGGCGGAUAGCUAGUUGGUAAGGUAACGGCUUACCAAGGCGACGAUCCGUAGCCGGCCUGNGAGGGCGGUCGGCCACACUGACACUGACAUACGGGUCAGACUCCUACGGGAGGCAGCAGUCGGGAAUUUUGGGCAAUGGGCGAAAGCCCUGACCCAGCAACGCCGCGUGAAGGA
rnacentral:rRNA from 1 species